UAGGGAAUAUUAGAAAUGGACGAAAGUCUGAUCUAGCAACACCGCGUGUGCGAAGAAGGCCUUUGGGUCGUAAAGCACUUUUUGGAAGGAAUAGGAAGGAAUGUACUUCCAGAAUAAGUCUCGGCUAACUACGUGCCAGCAGCCGCGGUAACACGUAGGAGGCAAACGUUAUCCGGAUUUACUGGGCGUAAAGCGCGUGUAGGUGGUAAUGUAAGUAGGGCGUGAAAGCUCCUGGCUCAACUGGGAGAGGACGUUCUAAACUACAGAACUAGAGGAUGGUAGAGGGAGGUGGAAUUCCAGGUGUAGCGGUGGAAUGCGCAGAUAUCUGGAGGAACACCGGUGGCGAAGGCGGCCUCCUGGACCAUUCCUGACACUCAGACGCGAAAGCUAGGGUAGCAAACGG
rnacentral:rRNA from 1 species